rnacentral:rRNA from 1 species
UACGAAGGGUGCUAGCGUUGUUCGGAAUUACUGGGCGUAAAGCGCGCGUAGGCGGCUUUUCAAGUCAGGGGUGAAAUCCCGGAGCUUAACUCCGGAACUGCCUUUGAAACUGUGAGCUUGAGUGUCGGAGGGGAUAGCGGAAUUGCUAAUGUAGAGGUGAAAUUCGUAGAUAUUAGCAGGAACACCGGUGGCGAAGGCGGCUAUCUGGACGACAACUGACGCUGAGGCGCGAAAGCGUGGGGAUCAAACAGG